rnacentral:miRNA from 1 species
AUCGGGUAAGGAUUUUUGUUGGG